CUUUUCUUGGUAGUUUUUGAAGUAUGGUCUGCCCGCUGACACGUGAGUUGAAGGGCCGCGGUAUUUUGACCGUGCAAAGGUAGCAUAGUCAUUAGUUCUUUAAUUGUGAUCUGGCAUGAAUGGCUUGACGAGACAUGAGCUGUCUUGGGUGUGAAUUAAUUUGUUGAAUUUGUAUUUUGAGUUAAAAUUCUUAGAUGUUUUUAUGGGACGAGAAGACCCUAUAGAGUUUUACAUUAGGUUGUAUAUUCUUUUUGUUUGUUUUCCAUUUUUUAUACCUUUUGUUUUGUUGGGGUGAUGGGAGGAAUUUCUUUAACUCCUCUUUUUAUUGUUAUACUGAUUUGUAUUUGUUUUGAUCCAUUUAUUUUGAUUAUAAGAUUAAAUUACC
rnacentral:rRNA from 1 species